GAGGAUGUUAGCGGCUUUGGCUUCCUUCUGGGCCCGGGGGCCACGGUGAGUCCCAGCUUGGCUUCAGGACCUAAGUGAGCCAUUUACCUGGGAAGGCUGUGUCAGGGGGCACGCUGCUCCGGGGAGCCUAAGGAGGACAAAGAGAGGUGCACGUUCUAGGAGCCGACAACCGGCUGAGAAGUAACAAACAAUCGACACAGUUUAUCCAUCACCGAGUAUCUGCGCACUGCCUGGAGACCGUCACCAACCUGAGGCAGACACCCACACUUCAGGGACCGGCAAACUAAUCCGCAGCAGCGGUGCUGGGACCCUGCCCCGGGACAAUCUUCGCAGCUGCUUGUCCUUUGCCUGCAGGGUCGGCCUGUCCCCACGGUGGGACAGAGGCAGUUCCCAGCCCCAGGCUGGCCCGCAGGGUCAGUGAGCCGUGCUAAAUGGCUACGUGGAGAAGGGGACAUCUCCUCGCAGCCCAGCACAACCGGCGGGACCGCCUAUUGAGAUGCACCGGCCGAGGACCCGAGAAGGAGGAAGCGGAUUUAGGAAUUCUUAGCGAGAAGGACCAGCAGCAUCCCUGUCGGUUUCCUCCUCACUGACCCUCCCCUGCUCACUCGUGCUCGGCUCCCAGGCACGUCAGCUGUCUCUUAUCUGAGCAUCAAGCCCUCGGGGCUCUCCUAACAAAAAACGUUCCGCCUGGAGCCCCUGCGGUGUGCCCGGCGUAGCGCCCGCGUGGGGCGGCCCCCCGUCUGGGCUGACUGAUUCCCUAUCGCAUUGGGCACCCAGGCACUGCGAAGAUGCGGUUGCAGGGACUCUCGUGAUCACAACUUGCCAAGUGUGAGAUAUGAAAAACUUGACCCUCAGAGAGGGAUGAGUGGCAGACAUGAGGACCCCAGUACAGCUGGAGGAGCAGCCGGGCCAGUCCAGCCAGCCCUGGACCGAAUCUUUGGCUCCAUCUACUUGCAGCUGGGGGCUAGCACUGCAGGGCCCUGUGGGCUCUGGAUCCCCAGUUUAGGAGGCCAACACUGAGCCUGCGGCAGACACUCCAUAAAUAUUUGUCAAGUGAAGCAAGCAGGUGAUUAAAGAAAUGAAAUUGGUGUGUUUUAUUACCAGACUGGUGUGGACUGUUAGUCACCAAGCCUGCUGAACUUCCUGUAGCUGAGACUCCGGAGUUGAUAGGAAGCUGAGAGAAAGGUGGAAGAAGGAGCCCAAGAGACUCAUUUUCUACCCAAUUUUGUGUUUUCCCCCUCAAAACAAUGAGCAUGUUAUAUGUUUCAACUUGUCUUUAUAUAUCUUAAAUCCCAAUUAUUUUUAAAAUGUUAGUUACAUUUGCCAUGAGCAAGCUUGAGAUAACUGUUUGCCAUGCUAGUCUCAGGGAGAUCAAUGUUGAUUUCAAGAUUAUAUGGAAAAGGAUACAGCCUCCUGAUCUUCCCAAGAGGCCCUGGAACAAGCACUGCCCUGUUUCAGUGUGUGAGUACUUGCCAAAGAGAAGAUAAAAUGGGGAUCAGGUACUGGCUGUGAACUAAGAUUAUGUGCCUAUGGGAAGGUAAGGCCUGUGAAAGCUAAGGCUUCCACAUGCUGCCCAAGAUCAACCUCUCCUUUUUGGUGACUAACACAAAAAUACAGUUGAUGUCAUUAAAAUGCUCCUUCUCAUCUCCCCCAUCCUACUCCCAUUAUUCAUCUCUUUGGCCAAAAAUAAAUCUCUCACUGCUCAGCCA
ensembl:lncRNA